rnacentral:rRNA from 1 species
UACAGGGGGUGCAAGCGUUAUUCGGAAUUAUUGGGCGUAAAGCGCGCGUAGGCCGCUUGGUAAGUUUGGUGUGAAAGCCCCGAACUCAAUUCGGGAAGUGCAUUGAAUACUGCCAAGCUGGAGUACUGGAGAGGAGAGUGGAAUUCCUGGUGUAGAGGUGAAAUUCGUAGAUAUCAGGAGGAACAACAGCAGCGAAGGCGGCUCUCUGGACAGUCACUGACGCUGAGGCGCGAAAGCGUGGGGAGCAAACAGG